rnacentral:rRNA from 1 species
UGAGGAAUAUUGGUCAAUGGGCGAGAGCCUGAACCAGCCAAGUCGCGUGAGGGAAGACGGCCCUACGGGUUGUAAACCUCUUUAGCCGGGGAGCAAUGCGGCGGACGCGUCCGCCGAGGGAGAGUACCCGGAGAAUAAGCAUCGGCUAACUCCGUGCCAGCAGCCGCGGUAAUACGGAGGAUGCGAGCGUUAUCCGGAUUUAUUGGGUUUAAAGGGUGCGCAGGCGGGGCGUCAAGCCGGCGGUCAAAUCGAGGGGCCCAACCCCUUUCCGCCGUCGGAACUGGCGCUCUUGAGUGGCCGCGAGGGGGGCGGAAUGCGUGGUGUAGCGGUGAAAUGCAUAGAUAUCACGCAGAACGCCGAUUGCGAAGGCAGCCCCCCAGCGGCCAACUGACGCUCAGGCACGAAAGCGUGGGGAUCGAACAGG